UCUAGAUUAUGUUGCCGGAAUCUGUAGCAAUCGUAAUGGCACCAAGAGAUUCUUCGAGAAAACAUGGCAUUUUCCGUUUGACAACUCCGGGUGGUAUGUCUGUCAUCCGGCAGUGCCAGAAACGUGGCUUUCAUCCACAUGUUCAACCUCCUCAUGGUGGACCCAUUUACAAUGCCUGUACAGAUGUGUAUAUGAAUCCCGAUUUGAACUUUGACGUCAUUGAUCUUCGAUGAUCACAACCAUGGCAUCUCGAGGAACAUGUGCAAUGGUUGAUUUCUACCAUUACCAAAUUUGCAAUAAGAGUUGCAGUUAAGUGUAAAAAGAAGAUGCGUGUUUAAAAGGAAAGGAGACAUUUAAGAAACACUGU